AUUAACAGGUAUGCCAAAGGAAAAAUAUGAUCCUCCAGAUCCCCGUAGAUGUUACACCAUCAUGUCAGCCGAGGAUGCGGCCAAUGGGAAGAAGUCUUACUGGGCCGAGCUCGAGAUAUCUGGACGAGUGAGGAGUCUGAGCAGCUCAUUAUGGACACUCACCCACCUGACAGCGCUGCACAUCAACGACAACAACCUGACCCGCAUCCCACCGGACAUCGCCAAGCUGCCCAACCUGGUCUACCUGAAUCUAUCGUCCAAUAAACUCCGCAGUCUGCCUGCCGAACUGGGCAACAUGGUCUCUCUCAGGGAAUUGCUUUUAAACAACAAUCUUUUACGAGUUCUGCCUUAUGAACUUGGGAGGCUUUUCCAGUUACAAACCCUGGGGCUUAAAGGAAACCCUUUGUCCCAAGAUAUCCUCAAUCUGUACCAGGAGCCGGACGGAACCAGAAAGCUUUUGAACUACAUGCUCGACAAUCUAGCAGUGCACCCAGAGCAGCUCCCCCAAAGACCUUGGAUCACUCUGAAAGAGCGAGACCAAAUGACUUCCACAGCCGUGUUCACGGUCAUGUGCUACAACGUGCUUUGUGACAAAUACGCCACGCGGCAGCUGUACGGCUACUGCCCAUCCUGGGCCCUCAACUGGGAGUACCGGAAGAAAGGCAUCAUGGAGGAAAUCACCAGCUGUGACGCUGACAUCAUCAGCCUGCAGGAAGUGGAGACGGAGCAGUACUACACUAUGUUUCUGGAAACACUAAAGGAACGCGGCUACGAUGGCUACUUCUGUCCAAAGUCUCGUGCCAAGCUGGUUUCUGAACAGGAGAGGAAACACGUGGAUGGCUGUGCUGUGUUUUUCAAGACCGAGAAGUUUACUUUGGUCCAGAAACACACUGUGGAGUUCAACCAGGUGGCCAUGGCCAACUCUGAGGGCUCAGAGGUCAUGCUGAACAGAGUGAUGACCAAAGACAACAUCGGAGUGGCUGUUCUUCUCGAAGUCAACAAGGACAUGUUCUCUGGUGGCAUGAAGCCAUCACAGGAGAGGCAGCUGAUCCUGGUUGCCAACGCUCACAUGCACUGGGACCCCGAGUACUCGGACGUCAAGUUGAUCCAAACUAUGAUGUUUCUGUCGGAGCUGAAGAGCAUCGCUGAGAGGGCCUCAGGCUCCGUGGCAACCGGUUCACCGACCUCCGACCCGUCCUCCAUCCCCAUCGUCCUGUGUGCUGACCUCAACUCACUGCCCGACUCUGGUGUGGUAGAAUUCCUGAGCGAUGGAGGAGUAGCCGAGAACCACAAGGACUUCAAGGAACUCCGCUACAAUGAAUGUCUGACCAACUUCAACUGCAACGGCAAGAACGGCAAUUCGGAUGGAAGCAUCACACACAGCUUCCAGCUGAAGAGCGCCUACGACAGCAAUCUGAUGCCUUACACAAACUACACAUAUGACUUCAAGGGUGUGAUCGACUACAUCUUCUUCUCCAAAACCCAUAUGAGUGUCCUGGGCCUGAUGGGACCGCUGGACAGCCAGUGGCUCAUCGACAACAACAUCACAGGCUGCCCCCAUCCCCACAUCCCCUCGGACCACUUCUCCCUGCUGGCCCAGCUGGAGCUGCAGCCCCCCCUGCCCCACCCGCUCAACCCCCUCAACGGGCUGCACCUGCCUGUCCACAGGUAGUGCAGCCCGAGAAAAGCCCCCGCCCACCCUUCUUACCCCACCUUCAAACACUGUCCUCCCCCCUCCCUCCGGCUUUAUACAGGACCCUGUACAGUUUACCGGUCAUGUUAAAACUCAGACAUCAUCCGGCCCGUCAAACCCUGAGACACACCCAGCCAAAAGGAGUGAAGUAUUCGCCCGUUUGUUGCUCCUUUUUGUGUUUUUGCACACUGUAAAUUAUAUAUUUUAUUUUUUCUUUCUCCCCUUCAGAAUGCUUAAUACCAAAUGUUGGGCUUGGGAAGACGUUGCUAUGGUAACCCCCAAUGUCAUUCUUUUCCUUUGCCUUAGAUAUUGAUCAUCACCGCCUGUAGAUUCUGCUCACACAUCAUCAAACCUUAACUGAUACUAUCAACUUUUUAACAAUACAUCUACUACACAGACGUCGGCAGAUUAGCUGAGUUUCAUUUGCAUUUCUUGCUGUGAAAUAGUCUUUUUAGAGUAAAAGCUAAACAACAUGAUAUUGAUGCUGCACCACAACCACAAUGUUGUGUUAAGGUCUAUAGCAGUGGGACCUUCGAUCAUUCCCAAAUAAACUGACAGAUAUUUUAAUUAAAGGCGAAUCACUACAAACAGCUGAAUCUAAGUUAGUAAUGUUGUACGCAGGUGUGAAAGGUUUGUUUAUUUUUUGUAAACACGGGUCGAUUAUUUAAAUUCUGCACACCAAAAUACUUACGUCAACUACACUUAAGUAAAAAGCAACAAUUUUUAAGGUUAAAUAGUACCAAUUGGGUGUUUUUAAAAGUAAUAUACUGUCAUUGUAGCACUAAAUUGGUGUGUUUCAUAUGGGAACUAAGAUAUGAGACUUAUGUCACGGCUGCAGGUAACAGCACUGAAAAUAGUGAUGACAGAUUGUUCUCGGGGGCUUUCAGAUUGACCCUUGCCCUGAGAAAACUAAUGGAUAGUAAUGGAUAAUAGCUGACUCCCAAAUAAUGCAAUUUUCAGCCUGAAAGUUGCCUCACAGUGCUGCCUUUAUGUUGCUAAGCUGCUGAAGUCACCCCUGUGAAUUUCUUCUUCUAUAAGGUAUUGGCCGUUCGGCAAGCUCAGUGUAGUUGCCACACUUCAGGCCAAAGGAGUUGCCAACUCUUACGUUUCUGUCAGCAUUGCUACAAAAUGAGGCCACUACUCUUUGACUUGCUUUGAAGAAAAUAUUUUAAAACAAACUAUAUUUGUAACACAAUCCUGAUAUAUACCAACAAUGCGCUUUACACUUUUAGUUUUUCAAGUCGUGCUUUUGAACACCUACGGUCUUAAGAGAGAAUUGUCCUGUUUUCCCGUCACCUGACUGGCCAAAGAAUCUUCCAGAAUGAGUCACUUCUGCUCUGUUCAUAAUGAGAUAAUAUUUAUUUAUUGGUGCCAGAGAAAAAAAAAACCUCCUGAAAAGAAUCUGCAAAUGAUUCGCAACCAGGAGACGAAUGUAUCUACCAAAGGCUCACUAUGAAAUUGGUUGUUGGAGCCUCUCAAUGCCAGAUUCCAGUGGACUCUAGACUUUGUAUAUUGUGUCAGAUAAUUAGAACUAAUAGCCCUUUAUGUAAGUUGUAACUCAGGGCUAUACUAUGCAUCCAGCAGUACCUCUCUUAACGAAAGACUCUCAGAGUCGCGUCGUACGAGCAAAAACCAAACAGGAAGCUAUUGUUCUGAAAAUCCUUUAUAAGCACAGGUAAUGUAUGUACUUGCAUACAUAGUAUAUGUUGUCAUCGUAGAAGUCCCACGUCUUUGUGCAUUUUUGAUAAAAACUGCUGCUGCACUUUUGCUCCAUUUCCAAAAAGAAUGACUGGGGAGAUUCUUUUUUGGAGUCGCCAGAAGAUGCAAAAAUCUAUGAGAUUCAUUUGGUUUAGAGAAAGUUUAGGAAGUUUAAAACAUUGUCAUUUGGUUUUGUUGUAAGGCUUUUAAGAGACGAUCAAGUCUCAGUGUGGGAUUGUAGGUAUUAUUUAAUGCAGGUGUUGGACUGGGUAUCAAUACAUGCACCUAUAUGUUAAAGUACCUUAGUUUCAGCACUAUUACACAUAAUAUAGCCAAUGUUUUUUCAAUAUUUUGAAAAUUCAAAAAAGAAAUGUAAAAAAGGAGAGACAAUAAAUGGGUUUCUUUAGAAGACUUCUAAGAAAUGUAAUGUCAGCUCCAGUCCUUAAGGCUCGGACCCACACUAGGGGUCUUUACUAAAAGUUCAGACAUUCAGCUUGCGACAAGCACGGGGACAUGGCCUCUAUAGGAGGAGGUCACUCACCAGCAGAGAAUGUUGGGAACCACUGGUCUGAACAGUCAGCCAUACAAUUGAUUUAAAAUACAGUCUCAAAUUGAAAACAAUUUGAUUUCUAAUCAGGAACAGUCUGGUUGGAAGAAGAAUUAGUUUGUAAUAUUUUCUGAGUUCUUAGUACAUUAGACACUUAAACACUGCGGUUUGAUUCCCAGGCCUGUCUAUCUCAUAAUAGCUGCCUGCACAUGCAUUCACAGUGUUGAAGAUACUGGGCACAUUUCCCACUGCAGUGUCUAGCAAACCCUGACUUUCUAAGAUUGAAUUAGUUAAAUUAGUCGAAGCAUUUGCUCCGUUCAGUAUUUGAAAAGAAAAGCCAUAACUUCGGGAUAAAUGGUGUGACCCUGUAACCUCAGCUUUAAACCACAAUCAGAUCCGUUCCACCGGCCUGGACGGGGCAGUAUCAGCUUUGCUUCAUUUGCACAUGAUUUGACGCUAAUGGAUGCACCUCCAGUUUUGGUGGAGUUGAUGAAGUCCAUCUUUAUGAGCAUUUUGAGGCCUAUACUUCACUCCUAAACUCACCUCACUGGGUUUUUUUGUACAACAGCUGUACAUAGAUGAAAUUGCCUUUGAUGACAGGGCGUCUUUCACAUCUGUGAGGGGAAUGUACCAUUCUCUGAUUAAGGGGCGUAUUUUUUCUCACAAAUCAAAGAUGUACUUGUACUUUUUUUUCUUUGCCCGGUGCACUAAAGCUCUCAUAUGUGAAUACAACCUCCAUCUGUCUCUGAAACUCUUGUCGAGACAAAAUGUCUCUGUCCAGCGUUGUUUUUGAACUACGGGCAUUUUCUGUCUCCUACUAACAUGCAGUCUUUCAAUUGGUACUUUGUACAAUUCACUAUUACCAAGUUUUUUGAGAAAAAAAAACAAAAACAUAAACGUUUUAGGUUUAAAAGCAGCUUGUCUUGAUGGCUUUUAUUUCUCCAGUGCACAUCUAAUUGUCCGCUCAAAGCUUUUCAUGCUCUGAGACGAUGUUCAAGCUAAAGUAUUUUGGUUUCUUCCUCUUUCAAGUUGACAUUUCCCCACUGGGUGAUCCGGGAAAUUAUUUUGCAUAUCCCGUUCACAUCUCUCUACACACAUUAUCCAACAUCCAUUGCACAUCUUUGACUUUUUACACAAUAAUAUCCAACUACCGUUACCUAAGCAUAUGACCUAUUGAUUUUGUCUCUGUAGAGCGCGCCUCACAUAAUUUUUUCUACAAACAACGUGCCUAGUUUGUACAACUUCUCCAACAGCAGCACUGCCCAUGAGACCAAGACGCUCAGAGAUUAACCCAGCGCCAUCAUCCAGCCAUCAACCCAUCACCCAUCCAUCCAUCCAUCCAUCCAUGCUUUCAUCCCUCCAGUCCUUCCUGAACCAACUUCAGGGGAUGAGAUCAUGAGGAAUUGAAACUGGUCAAUCAUGGUUCUCCUCAGAGUGGUUUCUCUUUUUUUGUUUUUGAUCAAAAGGCUUUUUUGUAUCCAUAACAUCAAGGACAAAUCAGUCAUUUUUAGACCAGAUAUUGCAGAGGUCGCUGUAUCUUGCACAGGAUUAUCACGCCUAUCAUCUCAUGUGAUUUCUGAAUGUAAAAAUCCUGUCCGUCAAUAUCUGGCCAUGGCUUGUUUUUGAUUUGUUUGUUUUGUUUUUCCUUCCACUGUUCCUUCAGGCUCAUUUUAUAGCGAUGUGGUUGCUACAUGAGGUUUUUAGUCGGUGGUGGCCAAUAAUGAAAUGUCCAGCAAUGUCCACUUGGGAACAUGAGGAUUAUCUGACAGAGUGUUUAGCACUUGGAAGGAGGGUCUGUUGUCUUUAAUCUACUUUCACGUGUUAAAAUUGAGUCUACAACUAGGCCAGGCAUCCAAGCCAGGAAACAUUCAAAGGAUGCCAUGUAACCAUUUUCCUCCCAGUAUAUUAACCUGUACAUGAGGAAAAGGAAUGAAAUUAUUGUGCAAUUUGAGUUCAAAGAAUAGAGAAAAAAAACAUUGUUAAUAACUGCAGUACAGUCUGACACAGUGUCUUUAAUAAUUGACAGCUCUGAACACAGGUUAAUGCACUGGCAGCAACUUCAGUGUCAAAACACGCUCCAAGCCACUCUAAGUUCCUCGUCCUUGUCAAAGUUGUAAUUCUGAGAAUACAAGUGAUGAGAACAAAGAAUGCUCGACUGUUACUUGUGGAAACAAAGAAUUUAUCUCUUUGGAGCCCUCUUUAAGUUGCUGCCUUUCGGAAACAUUCUGCAGAUUUGUUUCAUUCAUAUGUAAUAAGCGGAGUAAAAGAGAACGAGGGUCCUCAGCCACCAGCAGUCACCAGUGACGGUGCUACAUUAUUUCUCAAGAGGAUUUCAAAGGACUGCACUCAAACCUGCUAUAUGUAACAACGGAUGUUAAGAUUCUGCCAUCAGACUCCUAGACGAGCAGCUUCUCACCACAUUGGUUUUCAAUCCAGCUAGCUUCCGCCGCGCUGGGUUGGAAGGAAAACUCUGUAGUGGAGAGUUGCUAAAAUUAGACGGAAAAACAAAGCAGUUUCUGUGUUGUGGAAGCCAAAGUGUGCGUCGUGUCUGAUGGCUAAAUGUCAAAAAAGGUGUAAAACUGCGGCGACACAAGUAGCUGUUCGCCUGCCAGGACGAGUGGAAGUCUGUCUAUUGUAGGUGGCAGAUCUGACUUUGCUGUUUUCCUCUGACAAAACAAAUGCAGCUCUAUCCUUUGUAGACAUCCUGUUUGCUUGUGUUGCGAUCGCUAAGUUGCAACUGCACAUUGCGCGUCAUCAGGGCCGGCCCGGGCAUAUAUGGAGGAAAAAAAUUAAAAUCAGUGAAAGGCACUUUGCACUUCUACAAAAAAAAAAAACUUGCUGACAUAAUAGAACUUUAAAAAAAGAAUGACUACACAACCUUUCACCAAUGUUGGAAGAGAAACCUGCUCGAAUUUUUGGAAUUUUCAUGCUUAUAUUAUAAUCAGAAAGGAUUGCAUGCUGCUGUGUGGAAGCUUUUUUAGCCCUGGAGUAGCACUCAGCCUGACCUGUAUAAUGUUACCAAAUACCCUGAUUGUUGUUAUCUUAGCUGGUGCUCUAAUGUAAGAUGCUAAUGAGAUGCUUUAUGGGAAAUGUAGCACUCAGUGUUUUUGACCUGGACUAGGAAGCUGAAGUCAGGAUAUCUCUGCCUCUCCUGACGGAAGUUUGACCAUUCUGUUUGUAAUCUGCCGCUUGUAAGCCUUGUAAGACUUAUAGAAGUGAGUUACUUAAUCACCGGACUACACCAAUCAGGAGAAAGAACAGUAGACUCAAAGGCAAAUACAAAUGAAACCAAACAACCGAACACAUAUUUGUGAUCCUAAAAAAUCUAACAUUUAGGGUGUGAGGUUGUGUUUCUGGCUGAUUUCUUUUGGCCGGCUCUGGCACAAACAACACAUUACUGUACAGAGAGAGGAUUUCUUGCUGUACUGAAGCAGUGAUGUUGACACAAGUGAAUGCAGGACUUCUACAAAAGCUUCAGCUGUGUUUUUAACAUGUGAGCAGUUCCGCCUCGGUUGAAACCAAACAUGCUCAGCAGCACUUGUAUCAUCUCUACACCCAAAGCCCCGACUCCCCUCUCCUCCUGUAGGCAAUAAACAUGUCGUUUUUUUGAACAGU